CGGCAACAGCUCAAAUUUGAAAUCUGGCCUCCUUCGGUGGUCCGAGUUGUAAUUUGCAGAGGGUGCUUUGGCGUUGGCAGCGGUCUAAGUUCCUUGGAACAGGACGUCACAGAGGGUGAGAAUCCCGUACGUGGUCGCCCGCCUCCGCCGUGUAAAGCCCCUUCGAC
rnacentral:rRNA from 1 species